rnacentral:tRNA from 1 species
GCGCGAGUGGCGGAAUUGGCAGACGCGCUAGCUUGAGGUGCUAGUGCCUGACUAAAAGGGCGUACGGGUUCAAGUCCCGUCUCGCGCA